CAGUCGCCGCGGUAAUACGAGGGGGACAAGCGUUGUUCGGAAUUAUUGGGCGUAAAGGGUGCGUAGGCGGUUUGAUAAGUCAUCUGUGAAAUCUCUGGGCUCAACCCAGAGUCUGCAGGCGAAACUGUCGGGCUUGAGUAUGGGAGAGGUGAGUGGAAUUUCCGGUGUAGCGGUGAAAUGCGUAGAUAUCGGAAGGAACACCUGUGGCGAAAGCGGCUCACUGGACCAUAACUGACGCUGAUGCACGAAAGCUAGGGGAGCAAACAGGAUUAGAUACCCGGGUAGUCCCUGUCUCUUAUAC
rnacentral:rRNA from 1 species